CAAUCAUAGGAUCUGUCAAGGAAGAGUUAUGUGGAUGACAAGGGGCCAAAAGCUCUAGACAACUUGGUAAAGCAAGAGCAAAAAACAGGAUGGGAAGCCUAGACAGAGCAAACCCAGGAUAGCAAGAGAAGAAGCCAGAAAGCUCCUCCAUCACUUCAUCUUCUCCAGUGCAAGAAAACAGUUGAUGCUAACGUAGAAAAAGAAGAUGACUAAAGAGAAAAGAGCUCUCCAGAAGACAGUGGCUCUUUACCUCAGGGUCACGGUCCUUUUCCCGACAGGCGCGGACCUCAUUAUACAGCUUGGAGGAGGAGAUGGGAGCCAGAAAGGAGGUAUACUCCCCAGGGAUGCUCACACCAUCAUCUGGAGAGUAGGAGGGUCAUAUUAGUUCCCAAGGGAUGAAAAUGGUGCGUCUAACUGAAGGUUCAAACCUCCUACAUCAAAACAUACCACAUGUGACAACAUGGAGCUGUCUAGGUCUGUUUUGUCUAGGUCCUUUCAUGAGAAAUUCUACUUUGAGGUUAACUUACAGAGACACAGGUUAAAACUGGAAAGAACCUAAGAUAUUCUAAUCUAGUGAUUCUUAACUUCUGUAGGGUCAUAAAGAACCUUGAUAUAUGGAUGAAAGCUAAGCCCAAGGUACAUAUUACAUCAGCUCAGGGAAUCCACAGACCUCAGACUUAAGGAGGAUCUGCUCUAGUCCACUCCUCUCAUUUUACAGAUGUGAACAGUGAGGUUCAGAGAAGUUACUUCAUUUGCUAGGGCAAUAACCCAAGUCCAACCCACCUUCCUUUAAACCUUGUCACCUCCUCCUAGGCUGCUGCUGCCUCACUCAACCCGCCCCCGCCCCCCAAACUGCCACAGCCUUCCAAGCUGAGAAUCCAUUCCCCUUACUCAGCACACCCCAGCCUAGAGGCACCUUUUAAGAAGUGUUGGGCUCCAUCCAGGCACUCAGGUGACAGUUCAUUGUCAGCAAAGGAGCCCAAAAGCUCACUGACGAUGAUGUCUGCUUUCUCUGGAGCCACCCAUUCCCGCAUGUCCGAUGAGACGACGGUCACCUGGCUUCCCCAUUCUUCAAAUUGCCAGUUCUCUAGCCUAAAAUAAAGAUAAUGCAAGUGAGGACACUGGUAAGAAAAACUGGCACUGGAGACAAACUUCCCAGCAAGGAGGUUGCUACUCACGUCACCACGGCAUUUGGGUUCUUCUCCACAGCAUACAGCUUUAUCCUCCGGUCAGCCUGCUUGGCUGCCCUCAGAGAAGCAUUUACCAGAGGACCCCGGCCUGCUCCCAACACCAUUAGCACCCUAAGAAAGAGGAAGGGUCAAGCUGACUUAGCAGAUAGAGAAGAGGUAUGCAAAUCUCUGGGAUUGUGGGCAAGAGCACUCACUGGACAUUGGUAUCCUUCUCUUCGUCAGGCACUCGAUCUAACAGACAUUUAUAGAUGGCCUGGUGGAGGAAGGAGAAAAGACCUCAUGGCUAUGAUCCCAUCUUCACCCAGGACAUCCCGGCCCUGUACUUGACCCAGACCCACACUAUACCUGCUGAUAUUGAGAGUAUUUGAUGGGGUCCUUUUCAAACACUUCAUAUGUCUGAGAUUCCAGAUUGUCCAUCAGUGGCUGACGAAUGAGAGGAAAAAGGGAAAAUAAGUUAGCCAGUUUCUGGCAAGGGCAACACACCAGAAUACCAAAAAAUUUCCCGCUGCUUCCUGAGCUCUGGUAGGAUUUUAGGGCACCUACGGUCAGAGACUCUUCUCCCACACCUCCCUCCUCUCAGAAUACUCCAGACCCACCUGGAGUGGGGACUGCAGAUAGUCUUCAUAGCCCUUGGCAAAGAGUUCGUAAGCAUUGGGUGGAGGACGGUUCUGGCUCAAGUAUUCCAGGUACUGGAGGUAAGAACAGAACUCCUUCUCUGAGUGGUGGUUGGUGCCUGUGAUGAUGAACUGCACUUCCAGCUGUGAGAGAAGUCAGACCAUCAGGUACAGUCCUCGAACCAAGAUUCUGGGAUAUUGUUAUGGCUUAUGGCCAAAGAACCCUGGUGUAAAAUAAGGCCCAAACGAUCAGUCUUCCAGUUCAACAGAUAUCUCCACGUAUCAACACAACAGCAUGAAGCUUCAAUAAACUUAUAAAGCCCUCUAAUGCCAUAUAAGCAUCAUCCUGACUCAAACAGCCCCAUCGAUCCUCACUGUAACAUCUUAAAUGAAACCUUCUGCAAAGUUCUCAUGAGAUUUGGUUCCUUUUGAAAUGUUCUGGGGCUCCUCAUCCCAUUCGCCUCUUUGUUCUCAAGAGCUCCAAUUUUGAUGAAAUCGCUCCCCAGAAACCAGAAAGGAAAAGAAUCAGCCUCACAGAAAAAAAAAAGGCACCACACAUGUGAAUAAGGCAA